rnacentral:rRNA from 1 species
UACGGAGGGUGCAAGCGUUGCUCGGAAUCACUGGGCGUAAAGCGACCGCAGGCGGUCUGACAAGUCGGAUGUGAAAGCCCUGGGCUCAACUCAGGAACUGCAUUCGAAACUGGCAGACUCGAGUACGGGAGAGGGGGGUGGAAUUCCUGGUGUAGGGGUGAAAUUCGUUGAUAUCAGGAGGAACACCAGUGGCGAAGGCGACUACCUGGCCUGUUCUUGACGCUGAGGCGCGAAAGCUAGGGGAGCAAACGGG